AUACCGAACUCAAACACAGCUUUGCAAAUUCUUCAAUUCAAAUAACUUUCUUGUGUUUUGUUCUUGAUGUAUGACCAAGUCUCGGUGGAGAAGUUUGAGUUCUAAAAAGCAAGCUGCAAGCGUAGUACAGUUUUUUCGCGAUAUUAAUGAUGUCUAAAGCCCUCUUUGUGUGGCGGCAAAUAUUCAGAGCUCCGGUGGUAAAGAACACUUCUUCUCCUGAUCGUUGGUAACGGCAAAUUGGGGAAAGAACAGAUCCUCAGAUCAGAUCUGAAUGUUUGUCAAAGGUAUUGUCCAAGAAGAGACCGCAGAAUAGGCCAAAAGAGAGGAGAGCGGUUGAUGAAUUCUGUACCGUCUUGCCAUAUUUACUUAGUAGGGGAAAUAGGGAGAAGAUCAAAGAUUACCACAAUUCCUCUAAGAUGGUUCUUAUUGAAGCGUAAACUCAUCCACCACUACAGUGGCAUGCACACCCUUGGAAGUGAAAUAAAAGUAAUUGCACUGCAAGGAGAAAUUUGACUUUGAUCACAGAGGGGACUUCAAUAGCUUAGAUUAAAUCAUCUUGUGUUUUUGCUUUUAGACUAAUUAGGUACUUUUCACUGAACUUUGUGAUAAAUUCAUUUAAAAAUAAAAGAAAUAGAGAAACCUUUUGUAAAAAAAAAUAUCUAUGUGUGUAGCUCAAGUCUAUUACAUGUGGGUUUCCUGCACUAUGAUUUUACUACUGAGAAAGCACAUGUCAGCAAGCACUGUCUUAACCACCUGAUGUCAUGGUUUUAUGUCCCAACAUUGUUAACCAACAGUCCACAAACUUGCUAGAUGGCAAGUGAACAAUUCAACAUCUAACUGUUGGUACACAAAUGUUUUACCAAAAAACUGUCCGUCCCAAUGACAGUUGCUUAACGCUUUAAAUUUUCAUGAAAAUGAAUGUUGGCAAACAAUAAUGAAAAAAGUAAAAAAUAUUAUCUUGAAUCUAUUGCAAGGGGUGCUCCCCCAAUUUUCAGUGUUAUGCCUGCAGUGAGGGAAGGGUACGGUCAUAUGAAACAGACUGAGACUGAGGCACUGGAAAUUCCGAAUCAAACCCCUGAAGGA